AUUGAACGCUGGCGGAAUGCUUUACACAUGCAAGUCGAACGGCAGCACGGGGCAACCUGGUGGCGAGUGGCGAACGGGUGAGUAAUAUAUCGGAACGUGCCCAAUCGUGGGGGAUAACGUAGCGAAAGUUACGCUAAUACCGCAUACGAUCUACGGAUGAAAGCGGGGGAUCGCAAGACCUCGCGCGAAUGGAGCGGCCGAUAUCAGAUUAGGUAGUUGGUGGGGUAAAGGCUCACCAAGCCAACGAUCUGUAGCUGGUCUGAGAGGACGACCAGCCACACUGGAACUGAGACACGGUCCAGACUCCUACGGGAGGCAGCAGUGGGGAAUUUUGGACAAUGGGCGAAAGCCUGAUCCAGCGACGCCGCGUGGAGGACGAAGCCCUUCGGGGUGUAAACGUCCUUUUCUCAGGGAAAAAGGAUAGAUGGUACCUGAGGAAUAAGCCCCGGCUAACUACGUG
rnacentral:rRNA from 1 species